ACGUAGGUGGCAAGCGUUGUCCGGAAUUAUUGGGCGUAAAGCGCGCGCAGGUGGUUAUAUAAGUCUGAUUUUAAAGUUCGGGGCUCAACCCCGUGUUGGAUUGGAAACUGUAUGACUUGAGUACAGUAGAGGUAGGCGGAAUUCCCAGUGUGGCGGUUAAGUGCGUAGAUAUUGGGAGGAACACCAGUGGUGAAUGCGGUUUAGUGGGCUGUAUCUGCCUCUCAGGCGCGUAAGCUAUGGUAGCAAAUGG
rnacentral:rRNA from 1 species